rnacentral:rRNA from 1 species
UAUCUCUGUAGAGUCUGCAUAUCAAUAAGCGGAGGAAAAGAAACUAACUAGGAUUCCCUCAGUAACGGCGAGUGAAGCGGGAAGAGCUCAAAUUUGAAAUCUUCAAGGUUUUACCUUGACGAAUUGUAGUUUAAAGAAGUGUUUUCUGUUGGAGUUUUGGUAAAAGUUCUUUGGAAUAGGACAUCAUAGAGGGUGAGAAUCCCGUAUUUGACCAUUAUUUCCAGCUUUGUGAUACACUUUCAAAGAGUCGGAUUGUUUGGGAAUGCAGUCCAAAAUGGGUGGUAAAUUUCAUCUAAAGCUAAAUACUGGCGAGAGACCGAUAGCGAACAAGUACCGUGAGGGAAAGAUGAAAAGAACUUUGAAAAGAGAGUUAAACAGUACGUGAAAUUGUCAAAAGGGAAGCGUUUGACACCAGUGUUGUUUUCUCGAAAAUCAAUUAAAAAAGGCAGGAUUUUGUGUUGUAUUGACUUUAUCAGCUUUCUGCACUCUUUUCUUGUCUUUUUUAGUGCACUUUUCGUUUAACAAGUCAACAUCAAUUUCUUUUGUUGUAAAAGGGUCAUUGGAAGGUGGCUUUCUUUUCGGAGAAAGUGUUUAUAGCCUUAGGCCUCUGCAAUCGGAGAGAUUGAGGUCUGCAGCGUAGAUCCUUCGGGGUUAGAUACAUUUGUGCUAAGUUAUAGCCUUUCAUAGACAACUUGUUGACUAUGAUCAGUCAUGUAGCUUACUCGCUUAUGCUAUUUUACCUACGCUUAGGAUGUUGAAGUCAUCGUAUCGCGC